AUGCGGAUGGCAAAUGACGCUGCUUUUGGUACAAAACAAAAAAUCUGAAGCAGAGUGGCGCUGCCGAUGCCGGCAGCGACGGCGACUGCGACGCAGCAGGUGGCAGCAAAGUCGGCGAUAAAGGACAAAAUACAAAAAGAACACAAACUAGAAAAGCUCAGAAAGCAACAAUUGAACGAAACGCAUAAUGCGUGCUCAAUGAACAAACAAAUUACGUGCAAUUUACAGUUGCAAUCAAGACAGAAGAAUAAUACAGAAGGGGCGAACAAGGUGGGCAGGAGGAGGUGGGAAGAAAUGAAAAUAAGCAAGUCCUGGCUUCAAACGUGGGCAGCAACAAUUACAAAAAGACUUUUGCCUACAUCUUACAACUUAAUGUGUGUG
rnacentral:lncRNA from 1 species